CAUCCAUUAAUUUUUUUAGAUUUACUUAUAUAUGUUCACAAGAUUUAGCUGUCAUUGGAUCUUGACUACUAAGUAGGCUUGGCUAUGGGUCGGAUUGGAUGCGGAUUUGGGUCGAUCCGAACCUGACCCAAUAUCUCAAAAUCUUGAUCUGAACCCGCGACUCAGCAAGUCAACACUUUCCUAACCCAUACCCUACCCAGUAGGGUAUCGGAUUAUCC
rnacentral:lncRNA from 1 species